rnacentral:lncRNA from 1 species
UUCGGGGGUUUUCUCGACCUACGUGAGAAGGUCUUCUUCUUCUUCUUAGCAAAAUGCCCGGGGGCUAUCUUACCCUCGCAGGUCGAGUUUUUUUAAUCUAAGUUAGCUCUUUUGGUUAGGGUUUUUCUUUGGGCCUAGAGCCUUGUACAUGUACAUAUCUCUUUUCAUAUAAUAUAUACAAAAAGAUCUAGUAGGGACCUUCCCUACUGUUUCAUCAAAAAAAAAUGUGUUCAACUUGGUUUCCUCUUGUAGAUCACACCCUCUACGCUAUCUUCCACGAACCCUCGCAAGAACCCUUGGUAACUCCCUAUCUUGAAUCUACAAUUGAUGAGCACAAUUGGAGCUCCCUGGUCGAGAUCCAGCCCAUUGGUCCCCUCCCUCUAUUGGCUUCCAUAUGAAACCUUCACAUGAGCCUGCCUACAUUCAAGAGAAAUAGACAUUGCUAUGCCCAAAGAUCUUCCCUACCCUCCCUAGAAGGUCCUAUCAGGGAUCUUCAUCACUAGCACUACUAGA